rnacentral:lncRNA from 1 species
GUUUAAAGUGCAUAGGGAGAGAUUGUUUUCUUUCCCCCUCCUUGCACCUAGCAGGGAGAGGAGUGUGCGGAAAGAUGGAGUUGAGACAGAAACUUGUUAGCAUAACACCGAAGGAGUUUUGCUGUGAGUAGCAUCAGCAUAGCAGGAGAACAUCCCUAGCUCUCCUGCCGCUGCUCUGCCACAAGGAGAGAAAGGGAAAAGCAAAUUCAGCAGGACCUCUAGGACUUUGCUGUAGAUCUCCAGGUGGAGCCAGGACCCUCCAGGAGAACUGAUGGCUAGAAAAGACUGCAAGUAAUGUGGAGGAAGGAAGAAGAGAGAGAGCAGAGAGAGAUGAUUCUUGCAAACAUUGAUCUGUGUAGAGCGGAUGUCAACUUGAUGGGAUAAGACCUGGGUUGACUUGGUAUCUGGGUUCAGGUCAGCAAACUCUAACGGCAUUUCCUUCUACUAGCAGACAGAUCUGCUCAUCCUGCGACAUUGUGGACAGUGCUGAAUGGCUUCCAGAACAUUCCUCUUAUGUCUACUGGUUAAACUUUGAAGCAUCUGAACCAUUUGGGAGAGCAGGGACCCCCAUGAACAGGAGAUACUGGAGGUGUCUGAGGCCACUUCAUGCCCUUUCUCAAGAGUGGCCUGCAGGUCUUUCAGCCACUGGCCACUGAAGUCCAGCUCCUGCCAGCCAUGGAUUUGGGCACUGGGCUCCAGUGUUGAGAAAGUUCUUGACUUCCAGCGCUUGUUUUCCUAGUGGACAAUAGGAGUCAGAGACAGAGAGGGAGAGUGAAGAUGCAGAAGACAUAUCCUUUCCAUUGUGACCCAGAUAAGAAUGUAGCCGAGAAGACACACUGCUGCGAAAGGAAGAAAUCGUUGGUUUUUCUCCAACUGCUUAGCUGUUAAGAAGCAAGAAGCCUAUCUCCAAGGCAGCAGCAGGCCUCAGAGAAAACAGUAGGACCCUUCCUUCAAACAAAGGAGAAAACUCCCACAACUCAAAGCAAGUGCCCCCUGGUCAUUCUCUCAAAAAGCUACAGGCUCCAAAAAAAGACAGACUUCACAGGCUAGAGACGGGCUCUGCACUCAGGGUUGGUGGUCGGGGGCACAGAGCUGGCUGGGCAGGGCCAGAGGGGACCACAUUCUGCCACAUGCAGAGCAAAGCAGUAUCUUUCUAUUACUGGUCAAUGUAAUAUGAGCUGGGAAUGAGCAAUUUCAUACCUUUUUCUGAGAUAUUAAAAAGAAAUACGCUGAUGUGGCUGGAGGUAAUUUCCCAAAGCCUGUGGAUGGAGUUGAUGUCAGUAACUGGCUAUGAGGUUGUUAUUUACAGGACUGUUUGAUCCCACUGAAGUAGUGGUGCUUAAUAUGUAGCUCAAUGUGGCUCAGGAGCGAGGCCCAAUACUGCAUAUAAACCACCAUCCUGCAAUUUAUCCAGAGAGCAUGUGGGAGGUGAACCUUGAAUCAUUUGCUUGAUGGAUUUUUUUCUUUCCUUGGAAACAGAAAAACGAAUCUCAGUUUUCUCCCUAAGCCUUAGGCAACAGGGCUCCUUGCAAGUCACCUUCCCUUCCUUGUCCCCAAAACAAAGAUGCAUACAUGUUCCCCGAGCACUGCAAACACAGCCUUUCUUUCAGGGGCAGCUGGGUCCCUGGAUCCGCUUUCCCUCCCCUGGGCUGGUCCCAGUGUAAAUCAUCAGAUCUCCAGGUCCACUCGUCUGCACACAGGCUGCUUUGUAAGUGGGAGAAAGAAUCCACAGAACUUUACACUAAAUCCCCAUGGGAACCAGGUGAAUAGGUGUGUGUGUUUGCACACAAGCCCGUAUACAUGGCAAACCAAUCCAAGAGAUGGUGACCGAUGGGUCCAUAAAGACUCUGGCUGGCAAUGCUGUCAGCUUCCUUCAGCUGAGCGUCAGUUAGUUACCCUGGUAGUCUCAAAUGUCUCCUUGUGUCUGGAGACAACAUAGGGCCUGGCCCUGAGGACUGCCAGGCUGGGUCGCCCGGCAGCUGCACCUGUUGUAGGCUGGGUAGGCCCCCUAAAAUGCUUUGGGCAGCCCAAGAGUGUCUUCCUGAGUCAUGUGGAGCUGCCUCACCAGCAGCCCAGUGAGAGAUUCACAGCCCUAGUGGAGAGUGGAAGCCCUGGGCUAUCCCAAGCAAUCCUUGCGUCUGUGGGGCUGGUGCCGCCCCUUUGCGUCUCUUCUUGCAGCUAAGCAGAGCUCAGAGGCCAGGAAAAAAGCCACUGGGUGUCUUUGGAAACAGCUGACCUGAUUUUCAACAUUCCCUUUGAGCAUUUGCUAAAGGGGCACCACAGAAGGGCAUUAAGGAUGCCACCGUGGAAGGAAGCUGCAGAUGACAGAAGCGUGAGCACUGCUGGAAAAUGAGAAAGCUGAGUUGGGACUGCGUGCCAUGGAGAACCUGUACUGUCACCCUCCCCAGCCAUCUGACUACCAGCAGCUUCAGCAGCAUCAUCAUUUGCAUUCAUUCAUCUCUUUUCCUCACUCCCUCCCUCGAUGAAUCUCUUUGGGAAUGAUCUUCAAAAACUUUGCUUAGGUUUCAAGGUGCUUUUGAUUCACUGUAUUUUUCUUUAAAUAAGCCUUUUAAUUGAGCACAACGUUCAUAGAGAGAAGCGCACACAUCCUGAGGGGUCAGCCCAAAGAAUUUUCAGAAAGUGAACACGUGAGGGUGGCAAGCACCUGGACUAGGAACCAGAACACCGCCAGCGCCCCAGAUGUGCCCUUUUAGUCCACUUCUAGUCACUGUGCUCCCAUGAGGGUGCUCACCCUACCCUCUAGUACUGACAUUGAUGUUGCUUAUUUGUGAACUUCACUUGAAUGAACUCAUGCAACAGCGUGUCUGUGAGGUUCAUGCACGUUUCUGAACGUGGGAUCGCUGAAGUGUGGGGUUGUAUUCGAAACUGUAGUUUGCACUCAAAGAACAGCAAGUGGAAGAAAAUUACUUUGGAAAGGAAUUUUCAAAUCGAGUGUGAAUGAGAGGGUCUUUGGGACUUUGGCCUUUGGAGUUGAGCUGACCUAAAGGUAGAAGGUGAACUAGGAUCCUCUUAGCUCCCCACUCCACUCUGAACUGUGCUCCCAGGGCAAUCCAGCUUCUGCUCUCUUUUACUACUACUUCAUGUAAUGAUAAAAAUUAUGUCAGGUUAAAUAUCAGUAAUUGCUUAAGUGAGUUUGUAUAUCAAGCUGUGUAGUAACGCCUCACUGAAACACUGCUCAGCUGAGACUGAGAUUCAGUGUGUUGACGAAAA